rnacentral:rRNA from 1 species
AGUAUAGCUGGGCUACCGUAGUCGCUUGGAACUGUUAACUGAGGCAGAGGGAGGUGAAUUCAUGGUAGCGUGAAUGCGAGAUAUAGGAGGACACCGUGGCGAAGCGCCUUCUGGCUGAACUGACCUGAGGUCGAAGCGUGGGAGCAACAGGUUAGAUCCCUGGUAGUCCACGCCGUAACGAUGAGGCUAGCGUUAGCCCUUUCCGUGUUUAGGCGGCAGAAAGGCAUUAAUCAUCCCCGUGGGGAGUAGGCCGCCAAGGUGAAAUUCAAAGGAAUGACGGGGGCCCCCCAACCGGUGGACCAUGGGUUAAUUGGAAGCAACGCGAAGACCCUUCCCAGCUCUUGCCAUCCCUGUGACCUCUAUAGAGAUAGAGUUUCCUUUCGGGACUGAGGCGCCAGGUGGUGCAUGGUGUUGGUCAGCUCGUGUCGUGAGAUGUUGGGUUAAUUCCGGCAACGAGCGCAACCCCUACUUUUAGUUCCCAUCAUUUAGUUGGGCACUCUAGCGAGACUGCCGGUAACAAACCGGAGGAAGGUGGGGAUGACGUCAAAUCAUCAUGCCCCUUAUGACCUGGGCUACACACGUGCUACAAUGGUUGGUACAACGAGUCGCAAACCGGUGACGGCAAGCUAAUCUCUUAAAGCCAGUCUCAGUUCGGAUUGCAGUCUGCAACUCGCCUACAUGAAGUCGGAAUCGCUAGUAAUCGCGGAUCAGCACGCCGCGGUGAAUACGUUCCCGGGCCUUGUACACACCGCCCGUCACACCACGAGAGUGUGUAACACCCGAAGUCGGUGAGGUAACCGCAAGGAGCCAGCCGCCUAAGGUG